UUGUUAGUUUUCUGGCAAGUAGUGUUUUUAGUCUUGCUUCUGAAGGAUGGGAUUUGGGGGAGUUGUUUAAUUUCAGAACUGAUUAAGAUUGUGAAUUGGUAAUUUUGGGACUUGACUGCCAACAGUUGAGACAUUGUGGGACAUUCUGCACUGGAACAUUUGAAAUGGCUGAGGGAAAACUAAACCUAGUGAUUAAUAACACCUUUGCUCUACACUUCCUCCAGGCAACAGGCUCUGAAAAUAGUGUGUGGGAGACUUGGGCUAGGCAACCAGGCUCAGCUGAGAGCAAGGGGUUUGUGUGCUUUUCACACACCUACAGAAUAAGGAGGAAAUUCUUUGCCAAAGGUGCAGGAGAUGCAUGUUUCUUUUCUAACCAGGAAGGACCAUGUGAAUGACGGUUCUGGUUUGUUCUAGUAACUGUAACAUAAAUGCUUCCACUCUGGCUGUCUAAUCACACUGUAAGAUGCUCAAGGCAUAGCCUCUUACUCCAGAAAUGAGCAAUCAACAUAGUAAGGUUGCGGCUUUACAUCUUGCAUACCACUGUAGCACUUAUUCUUGCACUCGCAAAUUCCAAUCAUUCAGUUGCAAGUGGCCUCCCCUGGGUGACCAGCUCCACAGCAGAACUUAGAGAUGACCACGUACAUAUAACUAUUCAACCCCUAGACUUCAGUGUGAACAGGCUUUGGCACCAUACAAAUGAAAAAUACAAGUGCAGGCAAUGAUUUACGUGGAUGACCCUGACUUCCUGCACCUGUAAGUCUUUAAAUGGUUACACUUUCAGCUGCAACAGCUUCCAGAACUUACCCUCUUCUGUGAGCAGAGCUGAUGGAAGGAAAGGCAACACCCCUUCUCUGGCGAUGUGCUGCUCCAGUCAGCUACUGAAAAUUCAUUAACGCACAGGUUACACAACAUCCCUCUCCCACUCGCAGAAGAUAAAGACCACCAACAAACCAGGACACGGUUCCAUUAACGCCCCAGAGAGAUGUAUGUUUCAUAGCCAGUGCAGCCCUAAUUGAAUUCGCUCUUCAACUGAGGUGCUGGUGUCUGCUGUUUGCAAGCAGAGAAGUUGCAGGCUUCUUGGAACCGAUACAGAAAUAGCUAGCACUGAAACAUCAGCCCUGAAAGAAACUGCAUC